GAAGUAAAUAAGAGUUUUUGUAUUUAAAUAUUUUUUUCCCUUCCUAUUUCUAAUAUUGUCAUUUUUAUUUUUCCUAUAUGCAUUUUAGAUAUCUCUGAAAUGUAUGAGCUUGGAUAUAAGUCAGACGUUCAUGUAAAACUUUGCGACAUCCCUUAGAUAUUCGAAUUUCCUUGUCAGUUAGCUUACAAAUUAUUGUGUGUAACAUUUCAUUAAUCGGCAAGCAUGCCCAAAAUUAAAAAACGUAUCCAUUCUAAAGUUUGCAUGAAAAUUAAUGCAUCAUUGAAUGAUACUGAUGUAACUAGGCUGUCCGAGUAUUCAAAAUCUGUCUGUGAAUGUCAGUCGCCAGCAACACCACUUGAAAUAAAUAAUAAAUCUAUAUGUGUACUAUCUUUGUUUAAUUCUAAUGUAACUGUUUUGAUCGAAAUAGGUUAAUCCUCAAUAAAUUCAACUUGAAUUAACACCAAUCAAGAAGAUCACCCAUCGAAUUUAAAAAAUGAUUUGGCAAUAUCGGCUAUUGCUGAUAACAAGCCUCAAUCUACAAUCAUUAAUUUGUUAAAAGUUUUAAAGAAAUAUCCUUGUGUUUCAGACUUGCCUUUAGAUGCCCGCUCACUGCUUCAAAAACCUCGAUGUGUAAAAUGGAAAAUAUAUCUAAUGGUGUGUACCAUCAUUUUGGAAUUGAAGUAGGAAUUAAGUUUAUUUUAUCUGAGAUAGACUCUAAAAAUUUAUUAGAUCUUAAUCUAAAACUACUUGUAAAUAGUGAUAGUUUGCCUUUAGCGAAUAGUUCAGGUAGUCAGUUAUGGCCGAUUUUGGGAUCAUUAAGUUACAACUUGAACUCAAGGUGCAUUCAAGUUAUUGCACAGGAGCCCCAUAGGUAUAUUCCAUUCAAAUCAGAAACCAGAAAAUCCAAAUCUGUUUUUAAACAAGUUUAACAAAGAAAUGAACAAAUUAUUUAAGAAUGGUAUCGUGGAUAAUGGGAAGCAUUAUAAAAUGCAUCUGAAGGGAAUGAUUUUUGAUGCCUCUGUCCGAGCAUUUAUAUUGUGCAUUAAAAGUCAUUCGGGUUAUUCCAGUUGCAACAGAUGUUUUCAGGAAGGAUUAUAUUUUAAAAAGAGAGUUUGUUUUCCUCAAGUAGAUUUUGUUGAAAGACUGAUACAGAUUUCAGAAACAGACUUGCAGUUGAUAACCAUUAUAAAUGUGACCCUGAAUGGUUGAAAAUUGUGGCCCUGUAUCUCAAGUCCCAUUUGAAUACAUACAUCUUGUUUGCUUAGGGGUUAUGAAAAAGCUCAUAAAAUUAUGGCUAAAAUGUGAUGUUAAAUAUUGACUGUUAAACAGUCUGUCAGAGGCAAUCUUUGUUAAACUUUUCGGUUUUACUUCAAGCAUUAGUAAUGAUUUUGUUAGAAGACCAAGGACGUUAAGAGAUUUCGAAUGCUGGAAAGCUACAGAAUUCAGACAAUUUUUGCUUUUCCUUAGGUCAAUAGUUUUAAAAGGCAGCUUACGAAAUGAUCUGUACAUGUACUUUUUACUAUUACAUUGUUCAAUAAAGGUUUUUAUAACUAAUUCUAAUAUUGCCAUGAUGAAUUUUGCUCAUUCUUGGCUGCUAUGUUUUGUUAAAGGUUUUCCAUUUUUAUACAGAAAAGAACAUGUCUCACAAUAUUCAUUGCUUACUCCAUCUUUCUAAAGAUGCAUUAAUUCCAUCUCCAUCUUUUUAAAGAUGUAAAAAAUUUUAACUUAGAAUUUUGUUUUCAUUUUUUAUAAUACUAUUGUUAUUUCUUUAUUCAUGUGUAUAUCUAAAAUGUGUAAAUGUUUAAAAGUAUGUUUAAUACUGCAUUAUAUGGAUAAUGACCAAGUGUAUCAAAACAAUGUUUCCAUGCUGACAUGAUUGCUUGAAUCUAAUGGAUUAUUGUAUAUAUAAAGCUUUUAAUUUUAAGAAAUCAUGAACUUAGAAUUUCUUUAUUUUAAUUUUUUUUUUGAUAUUGUAAUUGCUUUAUUCAUGUAUAUAUCUGAAAUAUGUAAAUGUUCAAAAGUAUUUUGAAUUAUAUGGAUAAUGCCAAACAAUUUUGAAAUUGUUAAGUUUCUAUUGACUGUUGAGGUUGCAGUUGUGCCAGUGACCUGGUUGUCAACAAAAGGAAGUGUGUGGCCUCCUUUAAAAGCGUAUGAAGUUGGGAAACUUGUUGUGAAGCUAACUAAGGCUUCUCCAGAUUGGAUUCGCCAUGAAGCAGAACUUUUGGAAACAGACGAAGAUGAACGGAAGGACCUCUCUAAAGCUGAAGAAAGAUCGGAUUUGGAAUCCGAUGCUGAGAAAGGAAAAGGCGUGAAAUCACUAAAAAAUUUAAUAUUGGAUCAUCAUCAGAUUAAGAUGUGCCUCCAUUGCUAAGCAAUUCACUUACAUUUUCCAAAUCUACAGGUAUCUACUGUUCCUGUAGAUUUCUUUCUUGAAAGUCGGCCCAAGGAGCUACAGUUGUCAGAAAGCAGUGUAGUUAUUGCUGUUAACGAUGAGACGCCGGAUCUUAUAUUUCAUAACAUACCUGCUGAGGAUGAUACAUCUCCUAUUCUGUGUGAGGAUUUAUAAGGAUCAUCCACAUUCACCACUGCUAAUGCCGUGACACAGCAUAAUUCUGAAGAAGAAUUAAAUUUUAUUCUUCCCGUAUCUUCAAUGGAAGAUAUUGAUCAAGUAGAAAAGGAGUUAACAGAUUCCAAGACUCAAGAAAUUUUAAUAGUGCUGUGAGGAGAAAUCCUUCGAUCCAGGACAAAGUAACGCCAUAAAAUUGAAAAAGCUAUAAAAAAAAACUGGUUGCAGCAUGCAAAAGCAAGAAAUGUUUCUUCAUUAGAAAAUUUUAAAUUGUAAAUUUACUUUUUUGCAAAUAAACUAAUCUAGAUUUAUACCCUUA